UGUAAAAAAAUUGACAAUUUUGUGUGCAAAGACGAAGGAAACUCGGUUGGGUGGUAGAACGAUGUAGUUUUUUGAACAAGACACGAACAAAAUAGUGUUGUGUGUGUGUGUGUGAGGCAAGGCAGUCGAGUCCAGUUAUCCAACCUGAAGCCAUAUAAUUCCGAGUCCCCACGUCUUGUUUCUCUUAUUGUCAUACCAGCCGGAAAAAUAUAAAAAAUAUGGAAUCUUGGUAACCAUUCAGAACAUUGGUGGCUUCCGUUAAACCCUUUCAGAUUCCUACUUUAAAUUCGCUUCUUCACUUCAUCUCGUCAUAGAUAUUAGAUAUAUUCACAUCACCGUUCUGUUUCAAACUCAGCCUCUUCGUUUUGUUGUUGUUCCAUCAAGAACCCAUCUAGAAACUAAACGGCAAUCUAUAUGAUGGUCCUACGAUGUUAACAGUGUAUGCUCCGGAAGCUAUCAGCAUGAACCUGGCAUGUCUGGACUGUAACACACUGAAUGAUGCUUCUUUUAUACAAGAUUACUCAUGUUAAUCCCUUGACUUGCAUUGCAGUUUCUCCUAGCCCUUCACAGGGUCCUUGCAAUAAUGUUGUUCAUGGUUUCCCCUUUAAUUCUUGGAAAGGGCAAAAUCAACUUGACAUCAAUCAUUUGUCACACUGAGUGCCUACUAAGAAAUGGCUGGUAAGCAAUAAACUGUUAAGAUAUAUUUUAAUUUGUAAAA